UGCUGGUUGGGAGUAUCAUCUAGUGUCAAGAGCUUCAGAGUGGAGGGCUUUAAACACAGCUGAGUGCUGAAGCUCUGUGGAACAGGCUGUGGCAGGACCAACUACCCAGGAGAAGCAGAGUGCUCAGGGUGCCGCCAGGGUUCAGAAGUAGCAAGUCAUGAAGGGACAGACCAAAGAGGCUGGGCAUGUAGGGAUUCUAUGAUGAUGGAUAGAGAGAUUCCUCCUCUCUCCCCUUGCUCCCUCCCCAGGCCACCAGAGAGCUUUCAGUUAAUUUCCAGAUUAUUGCUUUCCUAUCCCUGCCCCCAUCUUCCCAAGAGAAUGACUCAGACUUUGGUAGAGACUGUUGUACUCAGAAGUUCUGAAGACCAGGGGACUGAAGGAAGGAAAAGAUUUUGAAAGAGAUUAGAUUCUAACAAUAGCUGGGUUGGGGGAGAACAUGAGAAUGUGGUAGGGGUGGGCUUGGGAAAGAAGGAAAGUGAGGAAGGUGGUAAAGAAAUGUCUAGAUUGAUCUAGAUUCUUGUGGAGCUGGAUAGAGUUGGGGGAGAGAAAAGAGAGUAUGAAAAGUCCUGCAGGGUUUAUGAAUUGGACUCCCUUGAAGGUCAAGACAUGAGGAACAAAUGAAAGUCCUUUUCAAUAAUUUCUUCAUUACUUUCUUGAAUGCAGCAGUGCUUGGGGUGGAGCUUGUGGGUACUGACUAGGGUACGAUUUAAAAUGGACAAAGAUCAUUGGACCCCACCACAAGCCAAGGUCUGGUCCCUGAAAGAGGCAAAAAUCAGCACCUGGAGGAGUGCUUAUUCAUCCUACAAAUGUGCGUUGCCUCCUGGCUAUGCUAUCCUCUGCGUCAAGUACUGCUUUAUGCUGGUGUACAAGGUAGGCAUCUUCCUGUGCUGCCCUUAUGUUCUAACUCUCUACUGGUAUCACAAAUGAACAAAUACAUUU
ensembl:lncRNA